CUGGAGACAAGACCAGGUCAGCCCUGGAAGCGCAGGUGAAGGUAGUUCACAUCUUAGACCUCAUUUAAGGGCUGACUGACACUGAGAAAGGGUCUUUUGCUGGAGAUCCCUCUUCUGUGGAGUUUUUUCUGCAAGCCUAGAUCUUCAGAAAUGGUAUUGUGUUACUGUUGAUGUACCUCAAUGAAACGGAGAGAAAAUUCAAGAAAUAUGAAUUGAUUGUAUGAAGCAACAUAUGCAAAUACUGAAAAUAAAAGCUGCCAACAUUGUGACAGGAAUGGCAUUAGCAGAUGAGUCAGGAGUGUGAUGAAGCCAUAUGGCCUUGUGAUUAUGUUGAAACUAAGGAUAGCUACUCAAGGGAUUACAUGCUCUUCUACUUCUGAGAAUGAAGAAUGUGCACUGUGAGCACUUUAGUGUCCUGGUCAGCUACAUCACCCUUUGCAGCAUCUGUGAAAAUCAAGGAAAGGUUCAAUACUUUCCUCAUGAGGAUAAAUCAUGUAAGAACCAGAAAGAGCACAGCAGGUUGAUUGAAUGUGAAAAGUGCAUAUUGGUAAGCAUUGAGAAUAGAAGAUAAAUGCAAUUGAGUUAUAACAUAGGAACAGUCUCACUAGAGAACACAGUAAGAUUAAAUGCUAGAGGAUGUCCAAAAACUAAUCAUGUCCUCUUCCACAGUAGAAAUGCCUAUAACACCAUGCUGAGAUGGUAGUAGCUCAAGUGAGUGCCAUCUGACAACAGUUUAAAAGGUAUUUCUUUGGCUUUCAUCUGACUAAACUUAUCUCAUGAAAAGUCUGUGUUCUGACAAGAACUCAGCAUUGUUAAGAAGGAACCUGGAGAAAAAUCAGAUCACAGAAUCAUAGAAUCAUCGUCUAGUUUAACUGUCCACCUACCACCAAUAUUUCUCCAUUAAACCAUGUCCCUUCGUACAACAUCUAAACAUUUCCUGAACACCUCCAGGGCUGGUGACUCAACCACCUCCCUGGGGAGCCCCUUCCAGUGCCUGACCACUCUUUUGGAGAAUAAUAUUUUCCUAAUAUCCAGCCUGAACCUCCCCGGCAAAACUUGAGGCCAUUCCCUCUAGCACCAUUACUAGUUAUGCUGGAGAAAAGGUUGGCCCCCACCUCACCACAACUUCCUUUCAGGUAGCUGUAGAGCUAUAAGAUCUUCCCUGAACCUCCUCUUCUCCAGACUAAACAAUACACGUUCCCUUAGCCAUUCCUUGUAAGAUUUGUGCUCUAGCCCCCCCCAUGGCCUUUGUUGCCCUUCUCUGGACAAGUUCCAGGGCCUCACUGUCUUUCUGUUAGUGAGGGGUACAAAACUGAACACAGUACUCAAGGUGCUGCUUCACUAGAGCUGAGUACAGACGAACAAUCGCUUUCCUACUCCUACUGGCAACGCUAUUUCUGAUACAAGACAGGAUGCCAUUGACCUCACUGUCCACCUGGGCUCAUGUUCAGCCAAGUGUUGACCAACGCCUCCAGGAUCCUAAUCAACGGAAGUACUUAUCUACACUGAAAGCCAAGAGGUUGUCACAUGAAUGCAUUCACAUUCAUUUAUGUAUCAAGUGUAUUACUGUAUAAAAUUACCAGUCAGCACAGACUAGAGCUAUAAAGAAAAUCAGUGCUCAGAAGCAACCUGGGAAUUCAAGGUCCUCUCCUCCACAGCUUGAGCAGGGAGACCAGAUGUUUUCAGCCUCUGAUGUGAGUCAGGGGAAACUCAGCAGCCCACCCUUUCAACAAGGAACAGGGGACGACUGAAUGAUUUUUGCAUGUCUGCAUCGCUUGAAGGUACAACACUUUCUGUUGAAUUAAAAGGAAAAGGCAGGAUUACAGUGGAGACCUUGAGAUCCCACUGCCAUACUUAUCAGGUAUAUGUUGAUGAUACCUGAGCAACUUCUACAGACAAUUUCACCUGCAGGACCCCAAAUCAGACACAAGCUGGUUUUAUUAUCUAAUUUUCAGUGUUUAUGGAAGAUGCAACUUAAUUUAAAAGGUCUGAAUGCCUCUUUUCUUUCCCUGUCGUUCAUGAGAACAAUCAAACAGAUCCUCACAGAUUUCAAGAACCAGAACCCAGCGUGAACACCAGAAUGAUAAGGGGAAACAUUCAGAUGCUUUCAAUGGCAAAAGAAAAUUCAUAAACUGCUUAUAAUGAAGAAGUGAUUGUUGAAAAUUGAGUUUUCUGUUCUUGUACUUUACUGGCAUUCAGCUCUUCAAAGCGAUAGCAAAUAUUCUAUUGGUUAACAUUUAACCCAAACUAAUAGGUCCAAUCUCACAUUCUCAAAUAAAUCAUAAUGUCUUUUCAAUUAGUUUGCACUUUCACUGGCUGCUGUCCUGAAUAAUUAGGAAAACAAUUCACAUUUCACUAGGAGAUGAUAUGAAGUGUUAUUCCUGUGAUAAUUAGCGAGCUGCAGUUCAGCUUCCCUGGCUCCCACCAGGUCAUCAGGGCACAAAAGAGGACACCAUGAGAGCAUUAAUGAGCUCUCAUUGAAGAUGUUAAAAAGCUUGUAUUGAUCUGUUUGUCCAAGAAGGAGAUAUUUAAGCCUUUCUGCUGAGGGCAGGAGAGACAGAGAUUCAUAUCACAAAGCCUUUUAUCCAACCCCUUCUGUUUCUGGCUUCAAUAUUGCCCAGUCUCAGCAUGUCUGGUUCUAGAGGUCAUACUUUUAAACUUUCACAACAUUUUUUUUCUUUUCCCCUUUCUUCUUUUUGUUUAAAAAAAAAAAAAAAAAAAAAAAAAGGAAAGAAAGAAAAAAGGGUAAUAUACAGUGUACACUUAACCUUUACUACAGGGAUCCCUUUACACAGCUCGCUGUUUCUGAGAACAGGCUUCAGUGCAGUAAGAUUUCCGUUCUCACUCUAUCCCGCUCACAUUCAUCUCAAUUAAAUUCAGAGAGUCUAGACAAUACAAGGACCAACUCAGUGCAAAUUUUUGCUCAUAGUUUGGAAGCACAUCCAACAAAAUCACUUUUUUUGGAUGUUCAAUCAGACUUUUCUCUCUAUUGUCACCGCCUUUUUUGUGAACUCCUGGACUUACUAUUUCUAGCUGGAAGUAGAAGUGAAAGAAGUAAGUGUAAGGCUGCAAAAUCACCAUUUCUUGUGGUAUUUUCACAUGAGGUUUCUCACUGCAGGAAAGGGAGGCAAAUCCUGUCCUGCCUUCAACACUCUGCAUUGUUAUGAUAUAUUGCAGCAGUAAACUUGUUCUGGGUACACUUACCUACUCACCAAUUUUGUCUACUCUCUUUUAAGUGCCACAAUGAGCUGUCAGUGAGGAUUCCCAGCCUGCCUGUGAUAGAGUUUGGGAUGAAUUUUCAUAUAACUGUAAAAGCUGUGGGUUUUUUGUUUUGUUUUGUUUUUGUUGUUGCUUUUUAAUUAUUAUCAUCCUUCUUACUUGAACUAGCUAUGGUCUCACUCAGCAAGAUCGUAUCUCUCUUUUCAUAGUAUCUCAUUCACAUUCAACUCUGUAGGAGCAAUUCAGCGGGUCCAUUUGUGUGUAUCCAUUGUAAAUGGCCAAUGAAGUAAUACUCUGGGACCUCUAGAUGAAUGCAGAAUCCUCAGUACACUUCUUUGUUUUUUCAUGGUCUGCCUCACCUGACACAGCAGGCUGGUGGAUGAACCUCACAACCAACAUUGGGAAUUCUGCAGCCUGCUUCUACUUACCUUGUAUCAACUCAAGAUUAUCAGUUUCAGAUGAAAAUAAACAUGAAUGAAUGCACACACAAAUUAUUCUUGCUGUGAUGUGAUGCAGUAAUCUCCAGUUUGGGAACUGAGCUGGCAAAAGAGGUCAUAUGCAUCCUUCCACUUGUGACCAUUUAAAAAAGAUGUGAGGGAACGAUUCAUGAACAAGUAAAAUUGGACAUGGGUAGCAAAUAGUGACCCUCGGUGAGUGACAACUGAGGUUAUGUGGAUGAAUACUAAACAUGAAAAGCCUGAAUUAUUCAUGGGAGGUUCAAGGUAAAAGGGU
ensembl:lncRNA